GAGAGAGAGAGAGAGAGAGAGGUGUAGAAGCAAAGACUGACGAGUUGAUGGAAAUAUAGGCAGCAAGGUCCUUGGAGAUGCCAUAUAAUUGUCCAGUGGCAUGCCUGAAGUACUUGUUUCCAUCCUCUCCAAAUUUCCAGUACUCUGGUUCGUGAUAUUUCACCCCUCUGCCGUACAAUUACUUGUUAUUGUAUUAUGAUUAAUUUUCAGUACUAUGAUUAGUUUGUCUUGUUAUUUUUUUUAAAAAAUAAUUAAAAAUAUUUUGCUAGUAUACAAUAAUUAUUAAAAAUAUAAAAAACUUACUUGCGAGAAAGAACUGGUCCAGACUUCAUGCAUCCGAUAUACACUCUGGGCUUGGAUCGGUAUUGUGCAAGCGUGCUGGCUAGCAUACCUUUGCAAUCAAAACAACAAUACCAAUAUAUAUAUAUAUAUAUUCCAUGACUCAUUGUAGUACUGUAAGAUUAUUGUAUUACUAUAAGAUUGAAUCAAACGAAGAACAGAAGAGAAAUGCUAACCUAAGUUGAGAUGGACAUCAUCAUCCACCUUCACAUAGAAUUGGGCGUCCCAUAUGGCAACAGCAGUAGAGAAAUAGAGUCUGGUCUUGGUGGACAGCUGGUGGUAUCCUUCUACGUGUUUCAGCCUAAGAAAGUCCUUGUGCUCUGCCUCUUCUCUGUCCAGUGCUUUAUCCAGAACACCCCCUGGUGUGGCACUGUGCCCUAUCACAAACCUUAUAACAAUCCCUUUCUCUCUCUCCAAUUUCUUCAGUUUUUCUCCUGUAACACCACAACAACAAUUCUCAACUGCUUAAUUUUAUGACCCAGGUCUGGUACAAUCCAUUCAUGCAAGCACAUUUGCCAUAAAGAAAAAUUAAGGAUCCAAAAAGACAUGUUAUGUUAGGAGACACCGCAGGACCUCUAGGCAUCCAUGUUUCUCGAACAGAGUCUCUUCUUUUCCUGCUGCUAAAUGCUGUGUUAAUUCCAAUAACCACAAAAGCCUUCUGCAAUGUCUGAUUAGAUUUGCUUUCCAGGGAAAUUCCUCCAGCACUAGUCUUGCUCAUACGAGCUACUGCUAAUUCCAUUUCCAAGUUGGAGAUUGUUUUGUCAAGUGACCUACGUACGGUGCGGUUGGACAUAAACAUAAUUAGAUGGCAUUUACUGAAACCGGAGGUUAAUUUUGCACAAUCACAAGAGGUAUAAGCUCACUGGAUAGCCUUGUGAGUUUUUGAGACUUCCCCCAUGAUAUCUUCUGCCUUUCCUUCAGCCAAUUUCUGAUUAGAAUGGGAAAAACUGAUCUCAAUCUGAUAGGUUGCAGGCAGCAACAUAUAUAUGAUAUAUAAUAAUAAAGGAAUAAAUUGGAUAAACUCUAGUUAGCAUGCAUACACGUUUGCGAUCAAAGUCACGGGCUACUUCUCCCAACUUAUUGCUGGCAUGCUUUUGAAUGGGUGGAGUUGGAUGAUAUUUGUCAUGAGAAGUGUAAGCAGUCCACGUUCGGCUGGUAAACAGUGAUCCUGCAAGAAAGCUAGCAAGACAUAAUACGAAAAUGGCUUUCCCUGAAACUGCCUUUCCCCGCAUUUUCUUGGACUCGUUGUCAAGCUGCCACGGGCACAAGGCAUAAUAAAGACGCUGCAUGCGAUCCUGAAGUGAUCAGAUUCUUUUAAGGUUGCAGCACCUUAUUGUUCGUGGUCUUCACAAAGGCCCUUGAAGAAAACACAAAGGAAGAAGAAACUUAGGCUAUUUAUUUUCAGGUGAAGCUAAAGCUUGAUAUAUAAAAAAACACAUGCGCUCUAUACCUCUAUGUAUACACCAUCACAUGCUAUUGCCGUUCCUAUAUAGAAUUAGUUCUAGAAAGAGUAGAUGGAAAUAGGGAAAGAAAUCCCAUUUUUGUGAAAAUUUUAUGACUAUGAUACUUUGUCGAUUUGAUUGAAACAACUGCCAAUGGUUUGCUAAUGCUAGCUUUCAAUCCCCCCCACACCACUGAAGCCUAUGAUUUGAGCAUAUGGUCUCUACUCAAGCAUGUCAUGUGAGGCUAUGUGCAAAGUUAAGGUAAAGCCCACCCAAUAUAGAUAUUCAAAGUAAAAUUCUCUUGCUUAGAGACACUCUUUAAGAAGAAAUGAAAUCUCUAAGCUGAUAUCGCCCCAACAAUUCUGAACAAAUUAGGAUUCUAAUGCUACAAAAAAUAUGUGCUGUGCUUUGAGUCUUCCUGCAUAGCUAAUGAAUCCCUUUGAUUAUCAAGAUUCAUCAAUCAAAGGAAGGAGUGGGAAAAUCAUAACAGUCCCUUUGAUCAUAUGAAGCCGGCAUAAGAGUAAAACUCUACAAGAAGAAAAAGAGAAAAAGUUGAUUUGAAGAAACAAGAUGAUGAUGUACAUUGAUGUACUUACCAGUUAAACAUUGCUUCAAUUCUAUUGUUAAUAUAAUUAAGGAUAAGCAAAUACUGAAAACAACAUAACCAGAAUAAAAUAUACUAGUACCUUUCCGAAUCAUUCAGGAUUGGGGCAUCAUUGACUGAGAAACGUUGCUAUCGAUUGCUAGCUAACGGCCAUCCUCAAGCAAAACUUCUUAUGUUGUAACUUUCCCUUACCCUAUAUAUCCUAGCUAGUUUCAAAUUACCUGAGCGCGCGGCCCUGGUUGCUGGGUUUGGCAGUUGGACCAUGUUGUUUUCAUGGUUCAACAACCUGUCAGCAGCUAUUACAGAAAAAGAAGUUCCUUUGUUUGAGGUAAUCGGUGACGUUUACGUGUGUAUUUGUGUGCGCGCGCGUCAAGAUGCUUCUUGUUAUGCUUUGUGUGUAGCAUAAACUCAAUUAAAACAUUAAGCUAGCAUAUGUUAGCUUUAACUUUCGUCAAGUGUUUGAUCUGAACGUGGACCUAAAUUUAUGCUGUUUGGAUGCCUUAUUUAGAGGGUUUAUGUCGAAGAUCUGUUUAUGUUAAUAUAUAAUGCAUGCAAGGAAUAGGAAUGAUAUAUCACACUAUUCUUGUUAAGCUAAUUAGUAGCUAGCACACACCAAGCAUGCCUGUGAGACAAGGAGUCCCUUACAUACUUGAGGAUCCAAGUUCUUUAAUGCCGAAAUUUUCGGUCAGUGUUAUAUAUUUGAACAGAAAGCAUAUGCACAGGACCAGUUAGCCUAUAGAUCGAGUAUCACCAAAGAAAGCAAAAAAAAAAAAAAAGGCAUUAUUGUCAUAGAAUUCAUGUUAGUUAAGUAUUCUCUAUUGAAAAGCGUAGAAACUAAUUACGUGUGUUUAAACUGAAAGUUAAUCAAGCGAAUGACUCAAAUGCUCUAUAGAGAUGGGAUCAAAUUUUGCAUUAAAAUUACUGUUGUACACCAAUUUGUAUUGUAUUUUAUUGUGUGUAAAAUAUUGUGACCUAAGAGAAAAAAAAAACACCAAAAAAAGGGAAAGGAAAAUAUUUGAAAUAUCAUUUUAUUCUCUUGUCACGUACAAUACAGAAAACCCAACUUAUAUAUUAGCCUGGGUAACAAACUUGUAACAAAUUUGUAAAAAGAGGCAGAAAAAUGUCUUAGAGAUCUUAACAUUAAUAGUUUAUUUACAUAGUAAUUACUAAGUGCGUGACUAUAAUAAAAGUUUAUUUACAUAGUAAUUACUAAGUGCGUGACUAUAAUAAAAGCCUAACUAGCUAUUUACUAUUAAUAAUUCGUUAACAACUAAUGUAGAAAUCAAUAAUACAAAAGCUAUUAUCAUCUAAAACUCCUAUGCUUUUUAUCUUCACUGCUUCUCAACAAAUUUGUCAUGUAAUAUCCUUCAUUAAAUAAAUAAUUUAUCUCUAAUACUCUCCCUCAAGAUGAGUGUGUAUGUUAAUAACACUCAUCUUGAUGAGAAGAGCAUGAUAAGGACCUAGUUGCAAUGCUUUUGUAUAGAUAUCCACUAACUCAGUAAAUAGAUGUCAUGGCUAAAUAACUCUAGCAAUGACCUUAUCUCUGAUGAAAUAGAAGUCCAUUUCAAUAUGUUUCGUACGUUUAUAAAAAUAGAGUUUUUACAUAUGUGAAGGGCUGAUUGAUCAUCACAAUAUAGCUCAAUAGCACCAAGAUGAGAAAUUCUGAAAUCUUGUAGCAAAAGUAACAACUACUGCACCUCACAACACGUUGCUGCCAUUGCCCUAUAUUUAGCCUCAGUGGAAUUCCUUGCCUCUACUGAUUGCUUUUUAGAUUUCCAGCUUAUAAGUGAUUUACCUAUAAAAACUCCAUAACCAGUGACAGAUAUUCUAGUAUCCAAGCAAUCUUCCCAAUCACCAUCAUUGUAAAUCUAAUCUGGUAUCUGAAUAUGAAAAUAACAUGAUACCUUGCCUUGGUGCCCCCUUGAGGUACUUCAAAACUCUAAAAGUUACUUGUAAGUGAACACUACUUGGUUGUCCAUAUAUUGAGACAAUAUAUGAACUGCAUAGGCUAUGUUCAGUCUUGUAAAGGUCAAAUAUAGUAAUUUACCAAAAAGUUGCUUAUAAAUAGUGCCAUCUUGCAAUAAUUAUUCCUCUUUUGCCCUUGCUAGCUUUUGAUUGUAGUCUAUUGGUGUUGUGAUUAGUUUUCCACCAAGUAACUCAUACUUUUCAAGCAAAUCUAACACAUAUUUCCUUUGGCAUAUAGAAAUGCCCUUAUCAGACCUUGCAACUUUAAGACCUAGGAAAUAUUUUAACUUCCCUAAGUCUUUUAGUUUGAAUUUGGUUUUCAAGUAAUUCUUCACAUCAUUAGUAAGUGUAAUAGAUGAACUUGCAAUAAUUAUAUCAUAUACAUACACUAAGAGAGCAACAAAAUCUCCAUUGUUCAUAGAUUUUUUAAAUAAAGAAUAACCACAAGACUACUUGUAAAUACUGCAUUUAUUGCACUUACUAAAUCUCCACGACUGAUUUUAUUUUCAAGAAACUUUUAGUUUUAUUGCCAAGCAAACAACAGUGAGCUAUUGCAACGAUUAAAGGUUAGUAUCUUGAUUAACUUGAUAUAAAUAAUGCAUUUCUCAAUGGUGAUUUGCAUGAAAUAGUAUAUAUGAUGCUGCCACAAGGUUAUAAGCCUUAUCUUUAGGGGGAAUAUACAAUAUCACAAAAUUAGAACUUAGUUUGCAAACUCCACAAAUCACUUAAAACUUCGAAGCUAAGAAUUUAUAGAAUCAAUGGUUAGGUUAUUGUCAAAAACAUUAUUUUUUGGAGAAAUGGUAUUUUGGGGAUCAUAAUUACUUGUAUCAACUUCAUGUUCUUGAUGGUUAUGUAAGGGAUGAAUAUGUGAAUGUGAAGUGACAUCAGGUGAAUCAAAAGAAUAAAGCAAAUCAAAUGGUGAUGAAGCUCUGUUAUGCAAAGUGGGAAAUGAAGUAUAAGAAUCAACUAUUUGUUGCAAAUAUUUAAAAAGAAACGCAGAUUCAUGAAAAAUGACAUCCCUAUAAACAAAGACAUUAUGUGUCUCCAAAUCAUAUAGCUUGCAGCCUUUUAUGCCUCUAGGAUAACCUAUGAAAACACACUUUGUAGCUCUUUUAUCAAAUUUUUUUUCUAUAACUUGAAAUGAUAGAUGCAAAGCAUAAUGAUGCAAUCACUCUAAGAUGUGAAUAUGAAGGAAUUUUAUAAACAAGAUUUCAUAUGGUGUUUUAUUUUGUAAAACAUGUGUGGCAAUUCUAUUUAUAAUGUGUGCAACAAUUAAGAUUGAAUCACCCAAAAAUUUCAAAGGUACUGAUGAUUGAAAUAUUAAUGCCCUUGAAAUGACUAACAAAUGCUAAUGUUUACAUUCAACUACUCCAUUUUGUUGUGGAGUAUCAAUAACGCAACAUAGUAAAGUAGAUGUAAAAUUUCUUUAGAAGAAUAAAAAUCCAAAAGUUUAAACUCAUUCUCAUUAUCUGACAUGAUUUAAAACCAUAUUAUAAACAGUAGGUAUGAUAAUUGAAACUUUAGAUUUAUACUUCAUUAGAAAACUCCAUGUAAACCUUGUGUAAUCAUUUACUAUUGUAAAAAAAUAAUGAUGGUUUGAUGAUGUUGCAACAGACUAAGGUCUCCAUAUAUAUGCCUUCCUGUAUCAAAUCAAAAGAUGAAUUUGAAAAAGUACAAUAAACAGGAAAAAGUAAUGGUUUUUGCUUUGCUAAUAAACAAAUGUCACAAAUCAAAUCAGAUUUACAUUAAAAACAUCAAAAUUGUUUUAAUGAAUCAACCUAAUUUUGCUCAAAAGGGUACGUCCUAACUCGAAAUGCCAUAAAUCAAAGUCCCUUGGUGUUGAACUACAAACAUUUGCUAAUGGUUGCUUGGGAAUAUUUACAUUCUUAUUUUUGCUAAGCUUUUUCAACAGUUGUUCAUCUAGCUUGUCUUGCAUGAUAUACAACUCAUUGAUAACCUUAGUAACCUUAAUCAUUUUCCAAAAAAUUGGGUUCUGUAUGACAAAAUAUUCAUAUAAAAGAGUUAAACAAUAUUUUCUUGAUUUUGUAUGUGAACUUACUGUAAUCAAAUUAUAGGUAAAAAGUGGUACAUAUAGCACAUUUUCCAAUAUUAAAGAUCUUAGUUGCACAAUUCCUAUGUGCGAAAUAACAACUUUGGUUUUGUUUGGUAAGUGAACAAAUGCAUUAUGGAUUGCCCUAUAUGAAGAGAAAGGCUUUAAACUACAAGUUAUAUGGUCUGUGGCACUUGUGUCUAAGAUCUAAGUAUCAUUAAGAAAAAAUAAAUAAUUUAUAGUUUGUAUAUGGCUUACAAAAGCAUGAUGAGUGCACAAGUAAUUGUGAUUAGUAAUUGUACCUGUUUGUGCAGAGUUUAAAAAUGAGAUUUUGUUACUGUGGUUACUAGUACCUGCAUUAUCAUUAACAACUGCUGAAGGAUGCUCAUUGAUUGAAGCUAAAAUUUUCUAAACUUGAUCUUUAGGAAAAUCUCUUUGAAAACCAGAACUAGUAAUACCAUCUCCACUGUCGUGAUGAUCCUUUUAACCAACAGUCAUAACACUAUUUAUACUAUAAUUUUCUUUUUUUUUUCCAAUAAACUUGCCUUUUGCAAACUUGAAGUCAUAUGGAAAUCCCACUAGCUUGUAGCAUUUUUCCUUAUAAUGGCCCUUCUUACCAUAAUUUGUACAAACUAUAUAGGAUUUACCCUUAGUUUUAUUAUAAAAAAUAAUCAUAUUUGUAGAGGCCUCUAUAAAAGGAUGAGUUUGUAAAUUUAUACUACGUUGAGAUUUUUCUCUAAAGAUAAUACUACAAACUUCAUCCAAAGUAGGGAAAAGUUUCAUCAUAAUAAGUUAUGACCUAAAAGCAGCAUAAGAUUCAUUCAAUCCAUUAACAAACUUAAACACAUUAUCUUUUUCAGUCCUAUCAAUAAACUUAUGAAAGUUUUGAUUACAAUUUCCACACUUAUAAUAAGGCAAUGGUAUAAAAUUUCACAAUUCCUCCUAGUUGGAGUUAAGCUCAGUAAAAUAACCAUCCAUAGAUUGUGUACCUUGUGAGAUAUUGUGAAAAGAAUGUUGAAGAUUGAAAAUCCUCACAUCGUCUAGUUGUGCGAAUCUCUUGAGAAAAUCCCAUUUCUGAGCGAUAUUGUUCAUAUAAAAGGCAUUUGAUACAAUUUAUGGAGUAAGUGAAUCCAACAACCAAGCAACUAUAAGGUUGUUAUAUCUUGUUCAUGCCAUGUACAUUUUAUCAGAAGGCUGAGGUGGUGGAAUUGACAUAAUAAAGCUUGUCUUAAUGCAGAUUGAAAAAGCUAGAAUAAAUAAAUGACUUUAUGAGUAACAGUUGUUUGAAUUGAGCUUAGGUGUAAUUACCACCAAUCCAUUAUUAUUUGAAUGGUGGAGUAAAUAAGGAAAUGUAUAAGAAUCAUCCACCAUAGAGAUUGUUGGCACGAUUGGUGCCUCAAAAGAAGUUGCCAUAAUGAAUCUUGACUUGAAUUGAAUCAAUCAAGAAUUAUCGAAAAGAAUUUCAAUUAAAACAACCAAAAAAAUGAAUCUUGAUCUUGAGAAAUCCUAUAUCAUGGCUCUGAUACCAUGAAAAUAUUGUGACAUGAGAGAGAAAAACUUAGAAGAAGAAAAAAGAAAAAAAAUUAGAAUAUUAUUUUAUUCCCUUGUCAUGUUUAUUAUAGAAAAUCUAGCUUAUAUAUUAAUUUGGGUAACGAACUUGUAAUAAUCUGUACAAAAGGGUAGAAAAAUGUCCUAAAGAUCUUAACAAUAAUAGUUUAUUUAUAUGAUAAAACUACCUAUAGUAAUUACUUAAGUGAGUUACUAUAGUAAAAACCUAACUAAUUAUUUACUAUUAGUAAUUCAUUAACAACUACUGUAAAAAUCAAGAAUAUAAAAACUAUUAACAUUUAAAACUCCUGUACUUCUUAUCUUCACUGCUCCUUAACAAAUCUAUCAUGUAAUUUGCCUCUGGGCAUUUGGCUCAUUAGUUGAUGCAUGAUCUCUCUACUUAGAGAGUAGGGUUCUAAUCCCCUUUUCCCCAAUUAAAAAAAAUCUAUCAUGUAGUUUCCUUCAUUAAAGAAAUAAAUUCAUUUCUAUUAUUGUGAAUGGAUGUUACAAUGUGAUAUGAGUUUACAAGGCUAGUUUUUAACAUUUAAGUCUUAAUAGAGUAGGUCAUUAAAGGUGAAAAGAUAAAAAAAAGUCGCUAUCUAGAUUUGUUAGCUUUGGUCCAUCACCUUAACUAGAGAUGGAUCCAUAGAUUACAAAGGAUCUAAUUUCGGUCUAUCACAUAAAUUAUAUUUUAAUGGAUGGCAUAUUUUUUGACAUUGCACAAGAUUUGUUGUGCUAACUAUUCAUCAAGGAGUUAUAGUUCUUUAGUUUCUUGUUGAUCAAAUUAUUUUAAAUUAUGUUUAAACUUUAGACUUGUUAUACCUCUAACAACUGAUAGAAUCCUUUACCUCCACUAUUGAGGUAAUAACUUUAAAGUAAACAAGUGAGUGUAGAAAACAAGAUACAUACACUAAACAAGAUCUAACUAUAAAAUACUAAAUUAAUUUAUCUUUAUCAAUAAUUAAAAGGUAGCUUUAUUACAAUUUACUAAUUGUUAUUAUACUUAAGAGGUAAAUAUAUUUUAUCUGGUAUCUAUAUGACUUUAAUAUUACCAACAAAUGAUGAAGAAUUUAAAAAUUAUAACCUAAUACAUUGUAUUAAUAAAUUAUAUCUUAAUAAAGAGUACAUCAUUCUCUGUUGGAAAAAUAUGACAUAAUACUUAAAAAGUUCCUCCAAAUAUUUAGAAAAAUUCAAAUAAGCUCUUAUUCUGGUAUUACAUUCAUUAAAUUAUUUUAUUUUUUAGAUCAACUAAGUCCUUAUAACUAAUGAUUAACUAACUAUUGUUAGUCAAAACACCACAUGUGAUUUUAUGCCAUAUGGUGUUAACGUGAUAUGUUUGCAUGUGAUGAUAUGACAAGAUCACGUGGUCACAUGGAAAAUUAGUCAACCAUUAAUCAUAAAUGCCUAUUUGAUCUAAAAUAAAAGUAGAGAAGUUUAAUUGAAUACAAUAUAUAACAAAUAAAAGUUUAUGUAAAUGUUCUAGGAUACUUUAUAGGCUUUUUAAAGCAUUAUGUUACAAAAAAAAUUCAAAUGAUUUGCAUAAAGUUAUUGGAAUCAAGAAUUUGAUUGUAUGUUUUCUUAAGUUGUUUUAAACUUUUAUUAUUUAUAUUAAUUUUAUAUAUAACUAGGUGAAAGACCCAAGCAUUGCUACGGGUUGUUCAAUUGAUGAAUAUUGAAUAUUAAAAAAAAAUUUAUAAUGUUUGGAUAUAGUAUGUUUUUAAUAAUGUUGUGUGCUUAAUAAAUUUAAUAUUUCAACUUUAUACAUUGAAAAUGGAGAAGACUUUUUAGAAUUUAUUUACUAACAGGCCAAACUCAAAGUUGAAUGUAGAAAAAGAACAUUCAUAUAGGUGGUCAUACAUAUUUUAUAUUAUAAAAUAUUAAAAUGAUAUUAUUCCAACAAUUAAAGCAACACAACAAUCAGUUGUGGUGUACAAAAUUUGAUUGUUCUUGUAUUGUGUGUACAUUUUUACCAUAGCAGUUGUAGUACAUUGGAGCUACAAAAAACUUGCUCCAUCUAUGGUAAAAUUUACCUAUUUUCUUUAUAGUGAAGGUAUCUGCAAACUAUUGCUUUCUUUGCAAUAUGCUUGAACCUCUUGUUUGCAUAUCAUCAAGUAUGAUAUGAAGUUAGUUGAUAGUUUCUUUAUACUAAUUUAAAUAAAAAAUACUAUCAUUUUGGGUAAUUUACCUAUUUUCAUUUUUUUUCUAGGUGACUCUUCCGAAAAUAGUUCCUUUGAAACUUGUACACUUGUCAAAGAUGGUGGUAGUUUCAUUUGAGGUUCUCCAAUGCUAAGUGGAGUUUGACCGAUAGUCGAUUGUUGACUUGAAGAACUUGUAAACUCUUGGAUUAGGGGUACUUGAAGCCACAAUUUACUUGACACUGUUACAGUCAAAGAUUUUAAAAAUUAUGUAUUCAUGAUCGAUGGCUUUUCAUGUGAGUCCUACUCUAAAUUUUUUUCUAGUGUUGAUUAGUGCCUUCACAAGAGGAGGAAGAGUCGUCUUGUCUAAUGUUUUAAUUGCAGCAAAUUUUGUAAUUGUAGCUCUAAUCAAUUUUUCAGCUUGUUGUCCAAAGCUUGCAGCUUAAUGGUACCAGUUACAUCUUGGACCAUUAACUACCAAAU
rnacentral:lncRNA from 1 species